GGGGGCGUUAUUGGUUUCGACGGGGAGCAUUGGUCAAAAUAUAAAGCAUGUGGUGUUGAUUUCACCUAAAAAAGAUCAUUUGCAAAUAAACGCAAACGAAAACAAAACUGUUCGUAUGCCAAGCGCACUUGCUGUUGCUGCGUAAGAACAAAACAAACAAUUUGCCAAUAGAAUUUGGCACAACUUAAAUAAAUUUCGCUCAGUUAUUUAAAGUUGAAAAGAGAGCGCUCUGCAUUUUAGAUCGUCCAAACUAAAUUGUAAAAAAAGGACUAUGCAUAAUUAAAGAUUGUUUAUGGUCGUUAAUUUUUGCGAAGAAAAAGCAUAAACUAAACAUGUAGAAAAAUUUUGCACAAGUUUUUCGGAAGAGGGUUCAAAUCCCUCCGUCUCCACCA
rnacentral:tmRNA from 1 species